GCCAGCCUGGUGUAGUGGUUAGAGCACUGGACUAUGACUCUGGAGACCUGGAUUCGAAUUCUGGCUCUGUCC